rnacentral:rRNA from 1 species
GUAAUGCCGGAUGCUCCAGUUGAUCGCAUGGUCUUCUGGGAAAGCCUUUGCGGCAUGGGAUGGGGUCGCGUCCUAUCAGCUUGAUGGCGGGGUAACGGCCCACCAUGGCUUCGACGGGUAGCCGGCCUGAGAGGGCGACCGGCCACAUUGGGACUGAGAUACGGCCCAGACUCCUACGGGAGGCAGCAGUGGGGAAUAUUGCACAAUGGGCGCAAGCCUGAUGCAGCGACGCCGCGUGAGGGAUGGAGGCCUUCGGGUUGUAAACCUCUUUUGUUAGGGAGCAAGGCAUUUUGUGUUGAGUGUACCUUUCGAAUAAGCACCGGCUAACUACGUGCCAGCAGCCGCGGUAAUACGUAGGGUGCAAGCGUUAUCCGGAAUUAUUGGGCGUAAAGGGCUCGUAGGCGGUUCGUCGCGUCCGGUGUGAAAGUCCAUCGCUUAACGGUGGAUCCGCGCCGGGUACGGGCGGGCUUGAGUGCGGUAGGGGAGACUGGAAUUCCCGGUGUAACGGUGGAAUGUGUAGAUAUCGAAAAAAGACCAC